rnacentral:rRNA from 1 species
AGCGAACGCUGGCGGCAGGCUUAACACAUGCAAGUCGAGCGGUCACUUUCGGGUGUCAGCGGCGGACGGGUGAGUAACGCGUGGGAACGUGCCCUCUGGUUCGGAAUAACACAGGGAAACUUGAUCUAAUACCGGAUACGCCCUUCUGUGGCAAGGCUUGCUUCCGUAGGAUCGGCCCGCGUCUGAUUAGCUAGUUGGUAAGGUAACGGCUCACCAAGGCGACGAUCAGUCACUGGUCUGAGAGGAUGAUCAGCCAAACUGGAACUGAGACACGUUACAGAGUCGUAAGGGAUGGAGCAGUGUGGUAUAUUGGACACUGCGCGCAAGCCGGAUGGAGCCAGGACGCGUGAGGGAUGAAGGCAUGAGGGGUGCAGAGUGUGUUUAUCCGGGACGAGAAUGACGGGACCGGAGGAAUAAGCCCCGGCUAACUUCGUG